AUCUUGUGACGAGUCCUAAAUAGGACGAAAUGCGCGUUAUCCUGGAU
rnacentral:hammerhead_ribozyme from 1 species